CUGGCGGCGUGCCUAAUACAUGCAAGUUGAGCGCUGAAGGUUGGUACUUGUACCAACUGGAUGAGCAGCGAACGGGUGAGUAACGCGUGGGGAAUCUGCCUUUGAGCGGGGGACAACAUUUGGAAACGAAUGCUAAUACCGCAUAAAAACUUUAAACACAAGUUUUAAGUUUGAAAGAUGCAAUUGCAUCACUCAAAGAUGAUCCCGCGUUGUAUUAGCUAGUUGGUGAGGUAAAGGCUCACCAAGGCGAUGAUACAUAGCCGACCUGAGAGGGUGAUCGGCCACAUUGGGACUGAGACACGGCCCAAACUCCUACGGGAGGCAGCAGUAGGGAAUCUUCGGCAAUGGACGAAAGUCUGACCGAGCAACGCCGCGUGAGUGAAGGAGGUUUUCGGAUCGUAAAACUCUGUUGGUAGAGAAGAACGUUGGUGAGAGUGGAAAGCUCAUCAAGUGACGGUAACUACCCAGAAAGGGACGGCUAACUACGUGCCAGCAGCCGCGGUAAUACGUAGGUCCCGAGCGUUGUCCGGAUUUAUUGGGCGUAAAGCGAGCGCAGGUGGUUUAUUAAGUCUGGUGUAAAAGGCAGUGGCUCAACCAUUGUAUGCAUUGGAAACUGGUAGACUUGAGUGCAGGAGAGGAGAGUGGAAUUCCAUGUGUAGCGGUGAGAUGCGUAGAUAUAUGGAGGAACACCGGUGGCGAAAGCGGCUCUCUGGCCUGUAACUGACACUGAGGCUCGAAAGCG
rnacentral:rRNA from 1 species